CCUACGGGAGGCAGCAGUGGGGAAUUGUUCGCAAUGGGCGCAAGCCUGACGACGCAACGCCGCGUGGGGGAUGAAGGUCCUCGGAUUGUAAACCCCUGUCGAGCGGGACGAAUGGCCCGCGACCUAACACGUCGUGGGAGUGACGGUACCGCUAAAGGAAGCCACGGCUAACUCUGUGCCAGCAGCCGCGGUAAU
rnacentral:rRNA from 1 species